AAUCAAAUAAAGUAUCUUGAAUCAAAAAGAUAAAUCAAAAUAUCACUCAUAUUCCAACUCGGCAGAUCGGAUUCCGUUUAAUAAGAUCGAGAUCCACCUGCGACAAAAUAAUGACACAUGGAUUGAAUAUAUAUAUUUCCAAUAGAACAAAGAAAUGUUUACACAAAGUUUUCUUGAUAAGUGAAGAUUUUGUGCAUACCUUGUAUAUACAAAGAAAGACCGUAUGUUUUUUCUAGCCUCUCGUCGAAAGCAAUAUUGAAAAUCUCCUAGAGUGAAUCCGAGUACUUGAUGUUGUAUACCUGAACAACCCACGAUCUAAGAUGAACACUCAAUACAUAAAUUUUACCUUGUAUUAUACCCACGGCCGAAGAUAGUUUGUGGGCUUCUAGAACCGUCGAACGGAGAUGGUUUCUCACAUAGUUGGGAUAAUAAAUGGCUUGGAAUGUGUUCCACAAUUGAUUGCAUCGAUAGUUGAGCCGUUACUCACAUAUGUUGUUUGAAGUCAGAAAGUGGGACCACCGGUCACAGUACAUACAUAUUUUCAGAGUCACCAAAUUUCUUUUCUAACGAAAACCACUAAAACCAGCAAUUCCGUAAAGCAACAAAAAAUACGUCUUUCUUAACAUUUAAUUCCGAUCGGACUUGAUAUAAAAUUUGAAAAAUCUAUUUUCGUUGGACGGAGGGAAUAUUACCUAAUUAUUAUAUGUACUGCAUCUUAAUUA
rnacentral:sRNA from 1 species